CCGCGCAAAUUUCCGCCCUACAUUCAACAGGGGAUAUUAAAGGCAAGAAAAAGAUCACAGAAGGUGGUUCAAGCAAUGCACAGUUACCAAAAUCAUCCAGUCCGGAGGAAUAUAACUCCUCCAUGGACAGCAAGCUAGAAGCCCCCAUCUUCAGGGGCGAAGACAUUGAAGGCUGGCUUAGAGGGAUGCAAAAAUAUUUCAAGGUUCACAAGAUUACUCUU
rnacentral:lncRNA from 1 species